CACGCUUUGUGUUUACUGUUGCUACUCGUAAGUCGAUUUGUUAUAGGUUACAUUUUAGCCUGAGUUAGUAGAUGCUCCAAAUACAGUAAAACUAAAAAAUAUAGCGUAGCGAAAUAGUUCGCUACAUUUUUUUAAGCAGUAGCUGUAUUCAGUAACGAACUGCCUUUGUUCAAAUGUAGCAGUAGUUGUAGCUGACUACAUAUUUUUGAAGUAGCUGUAGUUAUAGCGAACUACAAAAAUUUUGUAGUCAACCCACCCUUGCAUGCGUUUUAAUGUGGUUAUUUCCUCAUGUGUUUCGUGCACAAUAUGUUUAAGGAUAAGCUUGUGAUUGAGCUCAAAGAAAAACUUAUUUGUGCAGGAAAUAUAACCUUCAUGUGCGCCUGCCAUGCUAAAACAAGUAAACAUGGAAACGAAGCUAUUGGGACAAAAGUGUAAUAAACCGUAAAGUUGUCUAUUGUUUAAAUGAUGACAGUUUGAGACCUGGUUUCUAUAAAGGCCUCUGCAGAUGUUAGAAAAUAUGGAGAAGGCGCAGCCAGGUUCAGACAUCAUUGUAAAAAUCUCUAGUAUUCACUAGUAAGUACAAAAGCAAUGUAUUUUCCCGAUCCAUGCUACUAACUUCACGACGAAGGGCCUUCGCUCGAAACAUCGAAGUCUGUCGAAGUUCUAC